AGGAGAGAGAGAGAGAGAGAGAAAAAAGAAAAAAAAGAAAGAAAGAAAAAAAAAGAAAAGAAAGAAAGAAAGAUCUCUACUCUGUGACUGAGAAUGUGGCAUUAGGGGGAAAUAUGUAAUUUACAAAGUUACAUAUUACAACACACAUCCCUGCUGCUAAAUUCUGUGUGUGUGUGUGUGUGUGUGUGUGUGUGUGUGUGUGUGUGUGUAUGCUCAUGAUGGAGAGAGCUGGACAAAGGAGAGAGGCCUUGGCCAAAGGAGGUUUUUCUGGUCUCAGGUGAAUAUAUAUAUUUGUAAAUUCUCCAGCAAUUGAAACGAAUCCACUUUGUACUCGGAAAAGACUUAACCACUUUUACUUCUGUUUCAAACUGUACUUUUUUAAAAGCUAAAGACAUCCCUUAACCUGUGUGUAUGAGAAAAGUAAAAUAUAACAGGGAUAUAUGUAAAGUUCUACCAUUAAGUUAAAAAUAUUGCUGAAUACAGAGAAGGUAUUGGUAAUACCAAUUUUUAAAACUAAGGAUUUUACUGGUUACUUGGUCAUGAGAAGGAAAAAAGUGAGAAGUAUUUUUUUUUAAAUCCUGUAGCAUUUUCCUAGGACAUCAAGCCCUAGCACAGGAAGGGACAUUUUCACGCUAAUCUGUGCCAGCUGGAGCAGUCCUGCCAUCUGAUUAUCAUAUUUUGGAACACUGGGAAGCUAGGAUGCAGUUAACAGGAGACAGAACAUUCUGAAAACUUCAAGACAUGCUUAGAAGGCCCCUCAAUGUCAGUGGAAAAGGGGCUGCAGAUGUUAUCUAAGAAACCAAGUUAUCUCUGUACAACAAAAUCAUGUAUCAAAACGCAAUGGAGAGAGAGCCUGCAGAAGUGAGAGGUUCCCGGAACACUACAGGAAAUGGGACCUUGAAAUACAGAAGACAAAGUACAGGCUCAUGAAUGUCUGGACAACAUACCAGCAAGUUGAGCCUGACCAACCGCACUGACAUCCUGAUGUGUUGGCUUGACUCAAGAAGAUGGGUUCCAAGUAAUUCAGGGUCACACAGCAGAGAGAGAUGGGGAUUAGUCAAGGGUGUUCACUCGCUCACUCACCAACUAUCCCGAUUGAAUUCCCACACUACACUAGGCACUUUUUAGGGAGCUGUGUACAUUUUUCUGUGGAGGCACAGGGUUAGGACAUUAUCUCUUCCAAGGAUACAAAUUUCUCUGCGCAUUUAUUCCUUGUCUACCAAAAACCUUCUAUUUCCUCUUUUAACCUCCAUGGUUUCCUGCAAAUAGGAAGGCAGGAAGUCUAUCAUGAUGAAUGGAGCCACCAGAUAUGUGCAUUCCUUACUGUAAAAGAUCACAUAGGAAUUCUAGCUUAUAGAUUCCCCAAUGUGACCAUUCAGACUUUGGGAGCCUGAUUCAAUUUGAAAGAGUAGAUAAAAUAUAGUUUCUAGAAGUGCCAAGUUGAGGAUGAGACCCAAGACCAGGGUGUGGCCACUACCCUGUGAAUACUGGGAGGUCCCCCAGCCUCCCCUCACAUUUCUCUUAAACUUUUCAAAGUUACCUCCUGGGACCCCAGGGGUGUGAAUUCCAAGGGAUCUAACAGCUCUGAGAUUAUAGGCUGAACUUAGGCAUCAGAAUUGCUAGAGAGCGCUAUCUCAGUUCUGAGAAAUGGUUAAAACUACCCUUGGCAGUCAUAUGUGGAACCACUUAUUUCAUUACGAUGGAUAUUUUCUUGUAGGAACAAUGCAUAGUGAAAACCCAAAGGGAUAACCAACAUAAAACUGAUUUUGUUUUCUAUUUGAUAUAACAAUUGCAUUUUACUUGUUUGUUGUAUGUACGGGUGAACUUUCUUACUUUUUAAAAACAGACACCCGGAAAAUUUUAUACAUUUUUCCUAUAAUGUCCUUUAAAGCAUGAAACGUGUUUAUUAUGACAGUGUAUACAACUGGUGUUCAUGGCCAAUAACAAUUUUUUUCUCUAGGUUGAUGGUCCUUAAUAAAAGCAUUUUCUCA